GGAAUGGUAGCUGGGGUUGUUGAAGGAAAAAAAAACAUAACAAGCCUAUAAUUCCUAAACCUAGCUGAUUAAUGUUUAAUUCUAGGACAAACACCUUUCCAUCAGUAGAGAAUAGUUACGUGUAGAAGUCUUCAGAAAAGUGGUAUUUUGAGGGGGGAAAAAAUAGAAAUAAAAAUCAAGAUUUAAAACAUGUUCAGAGUAUUUUGGGGACUUAGAAAAAUCAGAUAGUGUGAUCCAGUUCUUCUGAAGGCAUUUCAGCUCAUUCUGAGUUACUGAACUCAGUGAAGGAAACUGGACAGAAAAUCUGCUUAUUUCCUUAAAUCAGUGGUAAAGUAGUUGAUGUAGUAUUGUUUCGAUUUGUGUAUUAGUUGUAAGUACUUUUUGAUCCAAAUGUGUGGUAAGUGUGUUAAAGAAGAAUGUAAGGAGUGGGGAGGUGGCUGAGAUAGAACCUGUAAGCCCUGCUAAGACAACUGUUAAAUACCGAAAGGUUCUUCAGUCAUUCAAACAGCAAAAUAGAAAGGGGAGGCAAAGCUGUCCUUAAAGGUGAUUGCAUUUAAGCAUUUGGUUCGUUCAUUUUGUAAAAUCAUGGGGGGGGGGAAGGCUGGAUGGCUGAUGAAUGUAAGGGUUUAGAAACUGAGGUGGUUAUAAAAGUGAAAGGUGCUAAAGCACUGAAGUACAGAUUGUGUGAUGUGCUCCAAAAACUUUCAAGAGUGCUUUUUUUAAGCUAUACCAGAGUUGUGGUGUUAAUCUUUUUCAUAAAAAACGUGUAUGUUGAAAUAGCUGAACUACUGCACUUAAUCCAGAUUGGUUCUUUUUUCUUUUUUAAACAGUAACAAAAACUUGGACAGCUUAGAACUGAACAGCUAUGUAUACUCACAUGGCUUCAGUAGACUUGGGGAAAAAACCUCAUACUGAGUGCUCACCACAGAAAAUAAAAUACAGUCAGCUUAUCAAAAGCAGCUCACGCUGGAAUAACCUGGUGUCUUCUCUGGCAAGACUUCAGUAAGGUCCUUGAUGGGAACCUAUAUGGAAGAAUGCUACUGAAGCUGCACUUUUAUCAAAAGAGCUGUAAUGUUGUUGACAAGGUUGCCAGGAAGUGGUGACAGGUAGUUUAGGAAAUGGAAGGAGAGGAAUGGGGGCAGGUUUUAGAGAACGUGCCUUUCAUGUGUGGCUUAGGUAUAAGGGGUGCCUAUACCUGCUAGGGCUUUGCACGAUGGACAUUUAAUAUUCAGAAUUAAAAAUAAAUCAGGAAGUCUAGAGACAUAGUGGUCACUUCACUACUUGAAGUGACACAAACUUUGCACUGAUGUGUUUUCUGAACUUCUGAAAUUCUGUUUUCUUUUGUCUGGAGUUUGCUGUUGACAACUGGUAAGCACUGACUGAACUACUAAUGUGAAUGUUCAAGUGGAAGCAAGUAAUACUGCUCUCUUUCAAUUUGUGUUGUGUGUUAUUUAUAAGAAGCUGUGAGGUCAUUGGCUUCCUGUAUGAGCCACUUCCUGAAAGCUUUUGUUUUACAUGGUAAAUCUAAAAAUGUAUUUCUUCGAAAAACUCAGCUGUGUUUUGUUUUCUCUUCUCUUGCUUCUGUCUCCUUAACUCUUGCUUCUGCUCCAUUGCUUAUUGCAGGCCAGGAUACGUUGUAAUGGAGGGCACGAGCUCUGCUCUAGGAGUGUUGCAGAGAAAGGUAGUUCCAAAAAGCCAUCACCAUUGGUAGAGUUGGAGCAGCUUAAAGCAGGCUGACAUGCAGCAAUAUUGACAGCCUCAAAUGUUAGUAAACAUGUGAGUCAUACGUAGGCAAAUAAUCAGUUUACGUCUAACAUUAGCAAAACCUGAACUAGCAAAACUAUUCAGUGCAUUAUAUUCAUGUUCAGUUCUAAAUAUCUAAGGGACAGUUAUUGCUGUGCAAUGCUGUAGUUGAAAUUACUUGCAGUUUUUCUUUUAAGGUUCUCAUACAGUCAGUGGCUUCUGAAUGCUUAGUUUUUAAAACAAACCAUCGAACUUCAUCAGACUUCAAGGAUUUGGCAAUAAAAGGAGGCAAACAUAUAUAUGUGCGUGAGAAAGGAAG
ensembl:lncRNA